CCCUUAGAUGUUCUGGGCCGCACGCGCGCUACACUGACGAUGGCAACGAGUUUUUCCUUCGCCGAAAGGUGUGGGUAAUCUUUUGAAACAUCGUCGUGCUGGGGAUAGAUCAUUGCAAUUUUUGAUCUUGAACGAGGAAUUCCUAGUAAGCGCGAGUCAUCAGCUCGCGUUGAUUACGUCCCUGCCCUUUGUACACACCGCCCGUCGCUACUACCGAUUGAAUGGUUUAGUGAGGACUCCUGAUUGGCGCCGCCGCCCCGGCAACGGAGCAGCGGACUGCCGAAAAGUAGUUCAAACUUGAUCAUUUAGAGGAAGUAAAAGUCGUAACA
rnacentral:rRNA from 1 species